GACGAACGCUGGCGGCGUGCUUAACACAUGCAAGUCGAACGGAAAGGCCCUGCUUUUGUGGGGUGCUCGAGUGGCGAACGGGUGAGUAACACGUGAGUAACCUGCCCUUGACUUUGGGAUAACUUCAGGAAACUGGGGCUAAUACCGGAUAGGAGCUCCUGCUGCAUGGUGGGGGUUGGAAAGUUUCGGCGGUUGGGGAUGGACUCGCGGCUUAUCAGCUUGUUGGUGUGGUAGUGGCUUACCAAGGCUUUGACGGGUAGCCGGCCUGAGAGGGUGGCCGGCCACAUUGGGACUGAGAGACGGCGCAGACUCCUACGGGAGGCAGCAGUGGGGAAUAUUGCACAAUGGGCGGAAGCGUGAUGCAGCAACGCCGCGUGCGGGAUGACGGCCUUCGGGUUGUAAACCGCUUUCGCCUGUGACGAAGCGUGAGUGACGGUAAUGGGUAAAGAAGCACCGGCUAACUACGUG
rnacentral:rRNA from 1 species